rnacentral:rRNA from 1 species
GAUGAACGCUGGCGGCGUGCCUAAUACAUGCAAGUCGAGCGAACAGACGAGGAGCUUGCUCCUUUGACGUUAGCGGCGGACGGGUGAGUAACACGUGGGUAACCUACCUAUAAGACUGGGAUAACUUCGGGAAACCGGAGCUAAUACCGGAUAAUAUUUCGAACCGCAUGGUUCGAUAGUGAAAGAUGGCUUUGCUAUCACUUAUAGAUGGACCUGCGCCGUAUUAGCUAGUUGGUAAGGUAACGGCUUACCAAGGCAACGAUACGUAGCCGACCUGAGAGGGUGAUCGGCCACACUGGAACUGAGACACGGUCCAGACUCCUACGGGAGGCAGCAGUAGGGAAUCUUGCGCAAUGGGCGAAAGCCUGACGGAGCAACGCCGCGUGAGUGAUGAAGGUCUUCGGGUCGUAAAACUCUGUUAUUAGGGAAGAACAAAAGUGUAAGUAACUGUGCACGUCUUGACGGUACCUAAUCAGAAAGCCACGGCUAACUACGUG